rnacentral:lncRNA from 1 species
AAAUAAAAGGAUGUCCAGUUCACCAGAAGAAAAUCAAACUUUCAGAACGGGUGGCCACUCCGAAUUCCCUCACAGCUCCAAGCCCACUAUGGUUGGGGAUUUCCUGUGUGGAUGAAAAUAAAAGGGGUGAGUUUGGGGAAACUCAGUGUGUAAAGAAAACCCAUUCAAAGCCCAAGUCAUCUCCAGCCCAUUGGGCCUAAGCCCAUCAGGUAACAGUGGUACUGGGCCAGAGCCCCUUUCAGAUUACAAUAAACUGGGCCUUAGCCCCUUAUUCAGAUAACAAUAUGGCCCAUAGGCCCAUUUCAAAAUACAUGCAACAUCAAUAACAUAUGCAAGCCCAUUUGGGGAGACUACUCAACCCACCAACCUCUACACUCCACCCGUACCAGCCAUACACUCCAUGUGGGGAAUAGCUCAACCCACCCAGCCCAACACUCCACAGUUGCAGCAUUGCUGCUCAGUUAACAGUAAAUUGAGGCAAAGCCUCCAGUACGUGAACAAGACACUUUCAGUACUUCCUCCGUCAAUAUCCCAAUCCCAUGCAUCAGAUAAUAACAACAUGGCAUGCAGUAAAUAACAACAGUCAAACAUGCAUUUAGGUCAAUUUAACCCUAGGGGUAUUUCAGUAAUUUACCUACUAGAGGCAAAACUGUAAAUUUUCCACUUUUAAAGGUAUUUCAAUAAUUUAUCUAUUUUAGGGUUUUUCAUGCAUAUUCCUACCUUUCACGUACUACAGAAUCACGUACCGAGGGUUCUUACCGAAUUGGGCCCGUUGGCCCAUCAUUCCAAUUUUGGCCCAUUAAGUCCAAAAAUAUCGAGGGCACAGAAAUCAUGCACUUUGCAGUCCAAAUUUUGUAGCUUACCAAAAACAUUAGUCGAUUUACCUCACGAGCAUUCGCACACUCACAA